AAUCACAUCCACUUGAGAUACUGUUUUUGUUUGGUGGGAAGUCACUGAUAAGCAGAUUUGAAACUAAUUCAGCCAACUUAUCUACCUGACGGUGACCACAUCAAGAUUCUGCUUCUCUCCAGGAACACCAUGCGGACAAUGACAAACAUUUACUGUGGGAAACAUCUCAACAAGAUUUCAAUCGCUCACUUUGUGCCUUGGAAGCUUGGAACCAGUGUGACUAACCGUGGGUUCUUUAAUUUACAUUGAUGCAGUAGAAAAAGGUCUCACUGCUGUUACUGAAAGCUUGAUUGCGUCUCUAUGUC
rnacentral:lncRNA from 1 species